UUUAUCACAGGGAGCUUCGAACUGACAUCUGUAUCUGGUCGUUCAGAUGACAGUGAGCUAGUAGCAAACCACCCUAAACCUAA
rnacentral:ncRNA from 1 species